rnacentral:misc_RNA from 1 species
UGGAACCAAAUUUAAUCAAAUUGAAAUUCGACGACUUUGCCAUGCAGCCUGACGCGUUUAUUUGUUCAGUAAAUCACAUUAUCACAAUGAAAGCUGGUUUAUAUAGCUAAACAAAACCAUAGAGCUAUCGUUUGCUUAACUAAGCCCAACGAUCUGAACCGGAGUGCUCUUCAAAGUCUAAACCAUUUCGUCCCCUCCCGCCUUUCAAAAAUGGCUUUAUUUGCCCGCCGCCACUCUAAAACCUCCCUCAGAAGCCCUAUGGUAUCUCUCGACUCCUUUACCUCACAAGUGCUCGAAGAACACCUUUCUGUCUCUUCAUUUCCUGCGCGCUCUCCAAUGUUCCAUUUCAAGUCUCGAAAUUCCAAGCCUAAACUUAUUAUAGUGCUUCAAUUUCAAAAACUGCUCCUAACCCUUGGGUUUUUUUCUAGGGUUUUGUUUUUCUUUCUUCUUUUGUUUUUUCAUAACAAAAUGUCGUGGGAAGGGGAGAUUGUGCUUCGAGACGAGACAAAUGCUGGUCUCGUCGUUAGCGACCGCAUUGGGCGGGAGGUUGCGGCUCAGCUUGACCUCGAAGAGGCCCUUGAAGCUUCCAGAUAUGCUAGCCAUCCUUAUUCUACUCACCCUAGAGAGUGGCCUCCUUUCAUUGAGGUGGUGGACACCUGGGAGUUGCCCCCCCUGUACUAAUUGAAAGAUACAGUGCAGCCGGUGGAGAAGGGACGGCUUUAUGUGGAAUAUUUCCUGAGAUACGUAGGGCAUAGGCAUCGGUUGAUGAUUCCCUGUUUCUAUGGAGAUUUGAUAAGUGGUGAGACAUUCUUUACUUGUCUAGUGGGCUGUUUAAUGAUUCGGCAGCCCAGAAGCCUAAUUACCUGAGGUGAUACUAACUUUGGCCAACAAUAAUGAGCAUUCUGUUUGCCAUGGAAACUCUUUAUUCUGACUAAGUUUGGUUGUGGCUGUCUGUUAGUGCUUGAGUUGCUACCGUAGAUUGGAUUAUUCACGCAUGCUGCCAUUAUAUCUUUUUGUCAAUUUAUAACUGAAUACUGAUUAAUGGCAGGAACCAAUCUUGUAUAUUAGCUUCCUAAUAGGCAAUGACAACUUUAAAUUACUAACCGGCACAUUCUACCUGCAUAAUGAGACAUGGAGUUAAUUUUCAGGAUGAAAAUUUUUUAACUUAAAGGCCCAUCAAUGGUUAAAGUUGGUGUGUCAGUUAUGUUUAAUGUGUAUGGUGUUGGUUCUUGAUCAGACCUAAGAAAAAUUUGGAUCACGCGUUCACAUUUUCUUGAGAUCAUUUUUUCCUUGCUCAACUCAACUCAACUCAACCGAGCCUUUAUCCCAAAACUUUAUAAUAAUUCUGUUUUUAUCAUUGCCAAUUUCCCAUAAACUUAGGUUAUUCAUUUUUUUAAUGUCAUGUGAUAGUGAUAAAUUGAUAAUACAGUUUUCAGUUAAUAUUUCAAAAUAGUUGCCUUACAUAAAGUCAUCAACAAAACUAGGAUUCAUUCUCUUAAUGUAAUGUCAUAGACUAAUAGUUAUGGUUCAGUUUUCAGGUUAUAUUUCAAAAUAGUUGCCUACAUAAUGUCAUAAGCAGAACUAGGAUUACUGUCCUUUUCCUGUGAAUGUAUAAUGAUUUCCACACUCAGAAAAGAACUUCAUGAAUUCUGAUCUUGUGAAUAAUGGACUGUUGUCUGUAGGCAAUCUAGAUUGGUAAUGGACUUGUCGGAGUCGUCAUUUAUUGUAAUACACAUUGUAAAGUUCCUAAAGUACAACUACAAAAUAGUACUUACCUUACUUGCAUUGUUCUCUAUUUGUAUUACCCUCCAGCACCUAUUCCUCUCGUUUCCAUUUUGUGUUUUCAUUUCUUCAAACUGUUUGAUCUUGCCCUCUUUGUGCAAGUCUCUUUUAUUCUUUCUCUUUCUCUCACUUCCUGAGCAUGCCAUCACUGUCAUUGUUCUUGACUUGAUGUCAUAAUAAAAAUACUAAUUUCAUUAUUUGUUUUCUUUGUGCCUAAACAUUCUAUUUACGAUGAGGUAUGGACAAUGUUCUGAAUACAGUGGAGAGGGACAAGCCAUUUGUGUUGUAGGCCUUGCCAAAUCUAAACCUGGUGUUUUUGUCAAAGCUAUUCAGUAUCUUUUAGUUUUAGCCACUCCUGUUGAGGUAGUAACUCAAAAUUUCUUCCAAUUAUGUCUUGAAGCGAGAGCACAUGCUUGCAGCUCAUGUAUUGCUAAAACUGGCUGAGAGAUGCUCAACUGGUGCAAGAGAUGUUCCUAGUCUUGAACAGAGGUAUGUCUGGAGAUGCUUUACUUUGCAAAUUAUUCGGGUGAUGCUCAUAGUAGCAUUGUCAGAGAAACUUGGGCCAGACUAAUUGAUCAAGCUCUUUCAAGCGGUGGCUUUGCUGAAGCUUGUUCAGUAUUGAAGAGGGUUGGUUCCCACGUAUACCCUGGAGAUGGAGCUGUUUUACCAUUAGACCCUUUAUGUCUUCACCUCGAGAAGGCCGCUCUGGUAAACUUUAACUCCAUAGAUAUUUAUAUGCUUUGCUGUCUAACUUAAUCUUUUGACUUAUUGUCCCAUUUAUACUGUUUGACCAGAAUCAUCUAUUGUAUGGUUAACUAUACUUCUUUGUAUGUUUCAGCUUUAUUUUUUUCUUUUUGAAUUUUUGCAGGAGAGAAUGGAACCAGGGGUUGAAUCUGUUGGCGAUGAAGAUGUAGCAAGAGCUCUUCUUGCUGCUUGCAAGGGUGCAACCGAACCUGUCCUGAAUGCAUAUGAUCAGUUGUUGUCAAAUGGAGCUAUUUUGCCAUCUCCCAACCUUAGGUUACGCCUUCUCAGAUCAGUGCUAGUGGUACUCCGAGAAUGGGCUAUGUCUGUAUUUGCACAGCGGAUGGGUACUACGACAAGUGGAGCUUCCCUAAUAUUAGGUGGAACAUUCUCACAGGAGCAAACAACAGUCAUUAACCAGGGAAUUCGUGAUAAGAUCACAAGUGCUGCAAACAGGUACAUGACAGAAGUGAGGAGGUUGCCGCUUCCCCAGAGCAAAACUGAGGCUGUUUACCGAGGAUUUCGAGAACUUGAAGAGUCUCUGAUAAGUCCUUUUUCUUAUGAUCGAUUCUAAUUCUUUUAUGUUCCUUGGUGUUGUAUGAAAUGUUUCUUUUCACAAAUAAGAAGUCAAUAGUUUCAGUAUCUGUCAUGUAACAUUAUGCUUUGAAUUUUUUACCGUUCGUGUAAAAUUAACCCUUGUUUUAUAGAGAAGCAUUGGCAGAAUCCAAAUUCUGAUGCCAAGGUGCUCAUGAAAUCUUGGGUGAUUUGAUUCCUUCUCAUCUCUUAGUGAGACACACACAGUGGUCAUGUUCAACUUAGAGCGGUGAAAGGAGUGAUGAAGAAAAAUAGAAGACCUUAAAAUGACAUGAAGUGAAGUAGCAUUAAAAGAUUUAUGGUUUUUAAAUAUUGAUGUAGAAUUAGUUUCAAAUAUUAUUGAAUGAUAAAAAAAGAUUUAUAUAAUUGACUCUAACUAGCUCAGAAUUAAAAGUUUAGUUGUUGUUAUAUAUG